AUUGAACGCUGGCGGCAGGCCUAACACAUGCAAGUCGAGCGAGUGGCGGACGGGUGAGUAAUGUAUGGGGAACUGCCUGAUGGAGGGGGAUAACUACUGGAAACGGUAGCUAAUACCGCAUACCAUCAGAUGAACACAAAUGGGAUUAGAUUGUAGGUGGGGUAACGGCUAACCAAGGCGACGAUCCCUAGCUGGUCUGAGAGGAUGAUCAGCCACACUGGGACGUAUACACGGCCCAGACUCCUACGGUAGGCAGCAGUGGGGAUUAUUGCACAAUGGGAGCAAGCCUGAUUCAGCCAUGCCGCGUGUAUGAAGAAGGCCUUCGGGUUGGAAAGUACUUUCAGUCGGGAGGCGUUACCGACAGAAGAAGCACCGGCUAACUCCGUGCCAGCAGCCGCGGUAAUAC
rnacentral:rRNA from 1 species